rnacentral:rRNA from 1 species
GAUGAACGCUGGCGGCGUGCCUAAUACAUGCGAGUCGAGCGAACGGACGAGAAGCUUGCUUCUCUGAUGUUAGCGGCGGACGGGUGAGUAACACGUGGAUAACCUACCUAUAAGACUGGGAUAACUUCGGGAAACCGGAGCUAAUACCGGAUAAUAUUUUGAACCGCAUGGUUCAAAAGUGAAAGACGGUCUUGCUGUCACUUAUAGAUGGAUCCGCGCUGCAUUAGCUAGUUGGUAAGGUAACGGCUUACCAAGGCAACGAUGCAUAGCCGACCUGAGAGGGUGAUCGGCCAAACUGGAACUGAGACACGGUCCAGACUCCUACGGGAGGCAGCAGUAGGGAAUCUUCCGAAAUGGGCGAAAGCCUGACGGAGCAACGCCGCGUGAGUGAUGAAGGUCUUCGGAUCGUAAAACUCUGUUAUUAGGGAAGAACAUAUGUGUAAGUAACUGUGCACAUCUUGACGGUACCUAAUCAGAAAGCCACGGCUAACUACGUG